AUUGAACGCUGGCGGCAGGCUUAACACAUGCAAGUCGAGCGGGGAAAAGUAGCCUGCUACUUGACCUAGCGGCGGACGGGUGAGUAAUGCUUAGGAAUCUGCCUAUUAGUGGGGGACAACAUCUCGAAAGGGAUGCUAAUACCGCAUACGUCCUACGGGAGAAAGCAGGGGACCUUCGGGCCUUGCGCUAAUAGAUGAGCCUAAGUCGGAUUAGCUAGUUGGUGGGGUAAAGGCCUACCAAGGCGACGAUCUGUAGCGGGUCUGAGAGGAUGAUCCGCCACACUGGGACUGAGACACGGCCCAGACUCCUACGGGAGGCAGCAGUGGGGAAUAUUGGACAAUGGGGGGAACCCUGAUCCAGCCAUGCCGCGUGUGUGAAGAAGGCCUUUUGGUUGUAAAGCACUUUAAGCGAGGAGGAGGCUACCGAGAUUAAUACUUUUGGAUAGUGGACGUUACUCGCAGAAUAAGCACCGGCUAACUCUGUGCCAGCAGCCGCGGUAA
rnacentral:rRNA from 1 species